AUUGAACGCUGGUGGCAUGCUUUACACAUGCAAGUCGAACGGCAGCGCGGGCUUCGGCCUGGCGGCGAGUGGCGAACGGGUGAGUAAUGCAUCGGAACGUGCCCAGUAGUGGGGGAUAGCCCGGCGAAAGCCGGAUUAAUACCGCAUACGACCUGAGGGUGAAAGCGGGGGACCGAAAGGCCUCGCGCUAUUGGAGCGGCCGAUGUCGGAUUAGCUAGUUGGUGGGGUAAAGGCUUACCAAGGCGACGAUCCGGAGCUGGUCUGAGAGGACGACCAGCCACACUGGGACGGAGACACGGCCCAGACUCCUACGGGAGGCAGCAGUGGGGAAUUUUGGACAAUGGGGGCAACCCUGAUCCAGCCAUGCCGCGUGCGGGAAGAAGGCCUUCGGGUUGUAAACCGCUUUUGUUCGGGAAGAAAUCCUCUGGGCUAAUACCCCGGGGGGAUGACGGUACCGGAAGAAUAAGCACCGGCUAACUACGUG
rnacentral:rRNA from 1 species